rnacentral:rRNA from 1 species
CGCGGCCUAUCAGCUUGUUGGUGGGGUAAUGGCCUACCAAGGCGACGACGGGUAGCCGGCCUGAGAGGGUGAUCGGCCACACUGGGACUGAGACACGGCCCAGACUCCUACGGGAGGCAGCAGUGGGGAAUAUUGCACAAUGGGCGAAAGCCUGAUGCAGCGACGCCGCGUGGGGGAUGACGGUCUUCGGAUUGUAAACCCCUUUCAGUAGGGACGAAGCGCAAGUGACGGUACCUGCAGAAGAAGCACCGGCCAACUACGUGCCAGCAGCCGCGGUAAUACGUAGGGUGCGAGCGUUGUCCGGAAUUACUGGGCGUAAAGAGCUCGUAGGCGGUUUGUCACGUCGUCCGUGAAAACUCGGAGCUUAACUCCGAGCUUGCGGGCGAUACGGGCAGACUUGAGUACUACAGGGGAGACUGGAAUUCCUGGUGUAGCGGUGAAAUGCGCAGAUAUCAGGAGGAACACCGGUGGCGAAGGCGGGUCUCUGGGUAGUAACUGACGCUGAGGAGCGAAAGCAUGGGGAGCAAACAGGAUUAGAUACCCUGGUAGUCCAUGCCGUAAACGGUGGGCGCUAGGUGUGGGUCCUUCCACGGAUUCCGUGCCGUAGCUAACGCAUUAAGCGCCCCGCCUGGGGAGUACGGA